AAAAUGAAGGGAAAUAGAGAAUUCUAUAGAAAGAGAAAAUCUGGAAAGUUCUACAAUUAGAAAAUGUCUAAAAGUCCCCCAAAUGAGUAAAUCAAGUUUCUAUUUAUAGGUCAAGUUCAAGUGGACACUUGGCAUCAUCCAAGAGGUCUUUCAGAGGCUUCUUCACCAAGAAAUCUGGAAAAAUGCAAUUUCGCACAAGCUCCAACAAUUUCGCAUGAUUGUGCAAAGUGGAAAAUGCAUUAGCACCAAUUUCGCAUUCUUGGAGCAUUUCACAUGACUGUGCGAAAUUUUCGCAUGGUCAUGCAAAAUUAGUUUUUAGUUUUCCCUUUGAGUUGCAACCAAAAUUGCUUUUUGGUCCAUUUUGCAUAACUGUGCGAAAGUUUCGCAUGAUCAUACGAAAUGGAAAAACAUAGUUUUUCAACUCCUUUUUGUCAUUUCUCCCAUUUCUUUCUUUUGAAUCCACCUCAACCACCUUCAAUUCAGCUCCAAAUCUUGGUCCAAGCAUUGCUUCUUCCUCAUCAUCCAUAUUGUUUACCUUCCUCGAUUCCAUUUCUCUUUUGGCACUCAAUACUUCAAAAAUCACCUUGAAAUAUCUCCAAAACUUCACAAAAACCAUUAGUAUAUCUUGUAAGGGUAGCAAUGUAUUACUUGGGUAUAUUAGGCAUAAUUAUUGCUCAAAAUGUAUGAAACUCAUGAGAAUUAUUAUCUAAAAUGUGUGGUUUUU
rnacentral:lncRNA from 1 species